rnacentral:rRNA from 1 species
CCCUACGGGGUGCAGCAGGCGAGAAAACUUUGCAAUGCGCGAAAGCUCGACAAGGUUAAUCUGAGUGGUUCCUGCUAAAGGAACCUUUUGUUAGUCGUAGAACCACUGAUGAAUAAGGGGUGGGCAAGUUCUGGCGUCAGCCGCCGCGGUAAAACCAGCACCUCAAGUGGUCAGGAUGAUUAUUGGGCCUAAAGCAUCCGUAGCCUGUUCUGUAAGUUUUCGGUUAAAUCCAUAAGCUCAACUUAUGGGCUGCCGAAAAUACUGCAGGACUAGGGAGUGGGAGAGGUAGACGGUACUCGGUAGGAAGGGGUAAAAUCCUUUGAUCUAUUGAUGACCACCUGUGGCGAAGGCGGUCUACCAGAACACGUUCGACGGUGAGGGAUGAAAGCUGGGGGAGCAAACCGGAUUAGAUACCCGGGUAGUCCCAGCUGUAAACGAUGCAAACUCGAUGAUGCGUUGGCUUGUUGCUAGCGCAGUGUCGCAGGGAAGCCGUUAAGUUUGCCGCCUGGGAAGUACGUACGCAAGUAUGAAACUUAAAGGAAUUGGCGGGGGAGCACCACAAGGGGUGAAGCCUGCGGUUCAAUUGGAGUCAACGCCUGAAACCUUACCCGGAGAGACAGCAGAAUGAGGGUCAAGCUGAAGACUUUACCAGACAAGCUGAGAGGAGGUGCAUGGCC